rnacentral:rRNA from 1 species
AUGGCACGGUCGGAGCUGGCCAUGGCGUUGCUGGUGGUGGUCCUCGCCGCCGGCUGCUGCGCGCCGGCGGCCGCCGUGGCGUACCUCUCCAAGCUGCCUGUGACCCUCGACGUCACGGCAUCCCCCAGUCCCGGCCAAGUUCUUCACGCCGGCGAGGACGUGAUCACGGUGACGUGGGCCCUGAACGCGAGCCAGCCGGCCGGCAAGGACGCCGAAUACAAGAACGUGAAGGUGAGCCUCUGCUACGCGCCGGUGAGCCAGAAGGAGCGCGAGUGGCGCAAGACCCACGACGACCUCAAGAAGGACAAGACCUGCCAGUUCAAGGUCACCCAGCAGGCCUACCCCGGCACCGGCAAGGUCGAGUACCGCGUCGCCCUCGACAUCCCCACCGCCACCUACUACGUGCGCGCCUACGCGCUCGACGCCUCCGGCACGCAGGUCGCCUACGGCCAGACCGCGCCCGCCUCCGCCUUCAACGUCGUCAGCAUCACCGGCGUCACCACCUCCAUCAAGGUCGCCGCCGGCGUAUUCUCCGCCUUCUCCGUCGCCUCCCUCGCCUUCUUCUUCUUCAUUGAGAAACGCAAGAAGAACAACUAA